rnacentral:lncRNA from 1 species
AAAAUAUACAAUAAGUGUAUACUUUGUCAUACAUGGUAGUUGUACUUUUUUCACUUUUUGUGUUUGUGUAUAUGAAUGUGUUAAAAGUGUUAAUUUCAUAUACAGUAUAUAUAGUUAUGAUGUGGUGAGCUGUGUAUGUGCAUGUGUGUGAAAGUGAGAAAGAGAAAAAAAGUGGUGUUCACGUGAGUAAGACUAAUUCAUUCUGUUCCUCAUCACAAUUCUCUCCACACUUUUCACAUACACAUAUCAAUAAUAAUAAUUAAAAAAAACACAGCUGACAAUAUAUUUUUCAGAUGAUGACGAUGAUGAUGAUUAUCAUAAAGGAUCCAUUUGUUCACUGUGUGCCCAUUGUGAGCAUUGCGACAGCUGUGAUAAAUGCCCAUGCAAAAAAGGAGACGACUCUGAACACUGCGACUUCUGUGAUGACUGUGGAAAGUGCUACAUGUGUCCUGUUUGUGAGACCGUCUGCAAGCCAGGUGGCUUUGUUGACUCUGUUUCUGGAUCCAUCUAUAAUACUGUCGCAGACGUCUUUAAUGACGACGACGAUGACGACGACAACUAAACCCAUUCGUCACCAGCAUGUGGCCAAAAGAGGAACGUGCAAUUGGGCGUUACGUUUCACAGAUUUCAGGAUUUACAUUGUAGCAUUAUGUUCAUUGUCGUUAAGUUAUUUUUCUCUUUUUAAUGUUACCACAUCACAUGCUACAGUCUGGUCAAUACAUUUACGUGGAACUUAAAUAAUUUCAUUUGGCUACCUUAAAUUAAAUGUAUUUAACUGAACAACAUUUCCCUUUUAAACAGUAUUGUUAUUAACAUAAGUUAUGAUAUGAAAUGUAAUUGCAAACCUACACUCUAAAAAAUGCUGGGUUAAAUAUAACCCAGCCCUGGGUUAAAAAAGGACAAACCCAGCUAUUGGGUUGUUUUGACCCAGCAGUUGGGAUGUUUUGAACCGAACCGCUGGGUCAAAACAACCCAAUAGCUGGGUUUGUCCCUUUUUAAUCCUGCGCUGGGUUGUAUUUAACCCAGCAUUUUUUAGAGUGUAACCGUGUUGUUUUGAGACUACUUAUGGAAUAAAAUGAGGGAAUGUUUUAUUUAUGUAAGUAAUAAUACUUUCAAAAUACUUUGAAAAACAUACAUUAUAUCAGUGUAGGCAGAGUAUAAUUGUCUGUGAGGGAUGUCCUUACUGUCUCUGUUGAAUAGGUUGUAAUGUUUUUCAUUUUGCUGUUAAUUUUUCCGCUGACGAAACAUGAUUUCCAAACAUGAUUUGUGAUAUGAAAUAUGGCCUUAAAGGGAUGUUCAUCCAAAAAACUAAACUGUGUCAUCA